GGGGAAUUUUCCGCAAUGGGCGCAAGCCUGACGGAGCAAUACCGCGUGCGGGAGGAAGCUUUUUGGAGUGUAAACCGCUUUUCUCAGGGAAGAUGAUGACGGUACCUGAGGAAUCAGCAUCGGCUAACUUCGUGCCAGCAGCCGCGGUAAUACGAGGGAUGCAAGCGUUAUCCGGAAUUAUUGGGCGUAAAGCGUUCGUAGGUGGCUAAGUUAGUCUGUCGUUAAAACGUGGAGCUUAACUCCAUACCGGCGAUGGAAACUGCUUGGCUAGAGUAUGGUAGGGGUAAGAGGAAUUCCCAGUGUAGCGGUGAAAUGCGUAGAUAUUGGGAAGAACACCAGCGGCGAAAGCGUCUUACUGGGCCAUUACUGACACUGAGGGACGAAAGCUAGGGGAGCGAAAGGGAUUAGAUACCCCUGUAGUCCUAGCCGUAAACGAUGAGAACUAGGUGUUGCGCGUAUCGACCCGCGCGGUGCCGUAGCCAACGCGUUAAGUUCUCCGCCUGGGGAGUACGCACGCAAGUGUGAAACUCAAAGGAAUUGACGGGGGCCCGCACAAGCGGUGGAGUAUGUGGUUUAAUUCGAUGCAACGCGAAGAACCUUACCAGGGCUUGACAUCCCUGGAAUCUUUUGGAAACAGAAGAGUGCCUUCGGGAACCAGGAGACAGGUGGUGCAUGGCUGUCGUCAGCUCGUGUCGUGAGAUGUUGGGUUAAGUCCCGCAACGAGCGCAACCCACGUUUUUAGUUGCCAUCAUUUAGUUGGGCACUCUAGAGAGACUGCCGGUGACAAACCGGAGGAAGGUGUGGAUGACGUCAAGUCAGCAUGCCCCUUACGUCUUGGGCUACACACGUACUACAAUGCUACGGACAAAGGGCAGCCAAUCAGCAAUGACGCGCAAAUCCCAUAAACCGUAGCUCAGUUCAGAUCGUAGGCUGCAACUCGCCUACGUGAAGGCGGAAUCGCUAGUAAUCGCAGGUCAGCAUACUGCGGUGAAUACGUUCCCGGGCCUUGUACACACCGCCCGUCACACCAUGGGAGUUGGUCACGCCCGAAGUGGUUACCCUAACCGUAAGGAGGGGGACCCCUAAGGCAGGGCUGAUGACUGGGGUGAAGUCGUAACAAGGUAGCCGUACCGGAAGGUGUGGCUGGAUCACCUCCU
rnacentral:rRNA from 1 species